CCUACGGGAGGCAGCAGUAGGGAAUCUUCGGCAAUGGACGGAAGUCUGACCGAGCAACGCCGCGUGAGUGAAGAAGGUUUUCGGAUCGUAAAGCUCUGUUGUAAGAGAAGAACGAGUGUGAGAGUGGAAAGUUCACACUGUGACGGUAUCUUACCAGAAAGGGACGGCUAACUACGUGCCAGCAGCCGCGGUAAUACGUAGGUCCCGAGCGUUGUCCGGAUUUAUUGGGCGUAAAGCGAGCGCAGGCGGUUAGAUAAGUCUGAAGUUAAAGGCUGUGGCUUAACCAUAGUACGCUUUGGAAACUGUUUAACUUGAGUGCAAGAGGGGAGAGUGGAAUUCCAUGUGUAGCGGUGAAAUGCGUAGAUAUAUGGAGGAACACCGGUGGCGAAAGCGGCUCUCUGGCUUGUAACUGACGCUGAGGCUCGAAAGCGUGGGGAGCAAACAGGAUUAGAUACCCUGGUAGUCCACGCCGUAAACGAUGAGUGCUAGGUGUUAGACCCUUUCCGGGGUUUAGUGCCGUAGCUAACGCAUUAAGCACUCCGCCUGGGGAGUACGACCGCAAGGUUGAAACUCAAAGGAAUUGACGG
rnacentral:rRNA from 1 species